GGCUCUGGCGGGAGGAUGGAGCCAGAAGGGGAGGGGAGGUGAGAGGAGCACUGUGCCAGAGGAACCCAAACCCACCCCGCAUAUGACUGGCGUUCAGGGAUGGAGGCGAGAAAGCAGCCAAACCAGGAGGGGCGCUGUGCGUCCAGCUGUGGAGGCCCAGCUGGUCACCCCCACUUUUUCACCUGCGCAAAGAGAAAUGGACACAGCUUCACCAAGGAAGAAAGUGAGUCAGCCCACACUCUUUCCCUCUUUCCACUGGACAUCUCUCAGGCUGCCCUGCAUGACUUCUUGCUCCACCUAAGGCUACUUUAGAUGCUGUCACUUAGCCUGAACAGUCAGAAUGCUGUAAUGGUUAAAUGCACAGCUCUGGAGUCAGCUGCCUGAGAUCAUAGCCCAUAUUCAACACCCACAUAGCCAUGUGACCUUGAACAAGUUUCCAAACCUCUCUCUGACUGAAGUUUUCCAAGAUCUGCCUUAUAACAUUCAAUGAGGAAAAUAAGUGCUGGAAAGACAAAAAUGUUUCAUGAAAGAAGGACAAGAGAGAACUCCUGACUUGGACAGCACUGCGGCCCUGGCCACAGCCCUCGAAGAUCCUCAGCCAUUAAAGAAAGGGGAUAUCAGUUAGCCAAUGUCGCUUCACUUUCUGCCACCUCCC